rnacentral:lncRNA from 1 species
GGGGGAGGGAAGAAUUAGAAAUGCAACACUUCCCAGUUUUAAAACAAUGGAAAAGUCUAAAAUCAACUCUCAGCUGCUUUCAAAGUGUUGGCUCUGACCAUUGGUAGCAGCGUCAACUCCAUUGCAGAAAGUGUAUCGUGGACUAUGUAAUGUAUUUAAUUGCAAGGUGGCUUUUAAAUGGCCUCAUUUCCUCGGGCUAGUGAAAUGGCUGUGAGCAGGGAAACAAGGCUGGACUGAGGCUUUGUUGUCCUGCCACAUUAUGUGAAGUUGCAACUGAGAUGAAUAUUCAAAAAACACAUUUGUCCGAAGUAGCACCUUUAACCACAAGAAAAAACAAACAGCAAGGAAUGGAAGGGGAAAUGGCUUCCAAACUAAGCCAGGGAAGAUGAGGUCUACUCUCACAAGGAGCAGGAGGCCUCUGAGCUCCUGAGUCAGUUCACUGCUUUAUAUUUAUCCCAAAGCUUCAUCAUAGGGACACUCCAGUCUGUUUCUCUGCUAACAUCAGAAAAGAGGGCUUAAACAGAAAGCAACGACUCUGCUACAGUUAAAGAUCUCCCCCCCCCCCCCCCCCCCGCCCAGCACUACCAAAAGAAAAAAAAUCUUCAAUUAUUGAGCAACAUAGAGUGUUAUUUCCAUACUAGUAUGGGUGACAUUUCCAUUCAGUUUCUAUAACUGUGAUUAAAGGCGAGAGAGGUUUCUAAACAUAUCUAGAGAUGUUGAGCCUCCUGGGGUAUAAAUAGCGUGCAUUUCAUAAUCUCGUGUUUAAACAUUUAUUUUAAAAUAACCCCCAUAUACAUUCCAGAGAUGCCUCCCUGCUAUAGAACAGGGAUUGACCCAGGCUUUGCAUAUUGUUUGCAAACUGGGGAAACAUUAUUGCUGAUGGAAGCAGCCUUUAUUUUUCCUGGCUUGUAAAAUAAAUAAAUAAAUAAAUAACGUGGGCUGUGCUGUGCCAGUGCACCACGUGGAGAUAAAGAAAUUCCUGAGGCACAUCUAGGCUCUCAGUGCAGAUCCAGAAACAUAUUGUGACUUAAUUGCCUUUCCUUGGACCUUAACUUCUGGCUGAUGUUUCUAAUUACAUCCCUUACUCUUUCCUGCUACAACUAUAGCUUCUGCAGCUACCACAGUUCUGAAGUUGUGUAGAAAUUGUCAAGUUGUACUUUCUCCCAACAGUACUGAUGCACUAGCAACGUGACUUGGUGUGUGAAUUGUAUGUUUCAACUGUGAACUCACAGUUGUCUUUGGGCCACUGGAGAAGUUAAAUGGUGUGUGUUAAGCAUAAGUCUUGUUUGAAACAACAUCGAGGCUGAAGAGUGGAAAACACACGGUAAACAUAAGCUAAGUAGAGGCUGGACGGGAAUAGAUGGAAAGGUAAGGCCAAGCCCAGUUGCAUCUUUUUUUGUUCUCAGCCCAACUGGAUGUCUAGGUUGCAGGGAUUGCUGAGAAGCAGAGUGGCAGGAUUAAAACCUGAGAUUUGCCAAGGCAUGGAAUGAAGCUCCCUCCAAUCACCUGUCGCAAGAAACCAUUAUCCAGCUUCCUAACCUUAAGGAUGAGACCCUAUCAAUAUUGCCUCUGCUUUUGUGCUCAGGGUAGUAGUGCAAUAUUGCUUAUAGGGUCUUUUCUUUUGAGGGUAUUCUUCAUGGAGAGAAGACAGCCACAGCAGGAAAAAUUAAUCCUAUGUGCCCAUCGAGUUAAGGGAAAAGUUGUGAAAUACCAAGCAUUGUUAGAUAGGCAAGUAAUUGUGCAGAGAUGUUAUGUGUGACAAAUAAUCAUGCUAUUGUGGUGACUCAAGUUGUGAGUAAUGGGCAUAUUUUUGAUGCUAUCACACGGGAUUCAAAAUGGCCUUGUGUUUAAGAGGCACAAGCAGUGAUUGAAACCGCAGAAACCCAUCACGUCUCCAUUUUAAAACAGUACAAGUCCCGAGAUGUUUGAAGGGUGCCUAUUUUGCAUAACGAUGUAAACACCCACAAGGAAUGGGAGGAGAUAUAUAGCCACACUCGGCUGUUCCUGUGCCUGAAAAUCAGUGCUGCGCAAAGCAGAGCGUUGCACGAAGUGCCUGAGGCUCUAAUCCCGAUAACGUCCUCUAAACAAAGCUCACGCCUCUGCCUGGCGAACGCGGCCGGGCUCCGCAGCCCGGGCUUGGUGCAGGCAUGGCUGGGCUGGGCAUUGCCCCCAGCCUUUCCCGAGAGCUGCUUAUGGAGGUACGUGGGAAAGGAGCAGGGCCGGAGGCGUUCAAUCUCAAUCUCCUCUCGGCUUUGUGAGAAAUCAGCUGGGGGCUGACAGCAGCCGGGCUGGCGGGGUGGGUGGCCUUGCCUUCCAUUUCAGGUGGUCGCCGCGGUCCCUUUCGGGACCUCUGGGGCCCAGGCAGAGGGGUGGUGGGAGGGGAUUGGGGCCGGCUCAGGGUGCGGCGGAGCGGCCGCAGCCGCGGGGCUUUCAUAGCCGCUCUCCGGGCAGCGCGGGGCCGUGUUCUCUCCGCGGUGGUGGGCGCGGGAGGGCGAGAAGCCCUACAGGACCGCUGCCUCCCGCCUGCUCGCCCGACCCCGGCCCUGCCCUCUACGUAACCCCCCGGGCAUCACUCCGAGGGGAGGCGACCAGCUAAGGGACAAAGCCAGGCAAUCCCCCCCCCACCUCAAAGCCCGGGCUCUCCCUCCGUGCCCCAGUCCGGCGGCCAGGGCCACCGGGCGGGCUGCCCCUCUUUCCCUGUUGCACUACUGUCACGGUCGCAGCGAGCAGUGCAAUAAUGAAAGGGCGUCAGUGCGCCGGGGAGCGGCGAGAGCCGGGCCCAGCCGGUGUAACAGCGGCCGGGGAAGAGACGGGCCGUCCCGCCGGGCCCCCAAGAGCCACUCGAGCGGGGCGGGGGUCGCCGCGCUGCUCGCUCUGUCGGAACGCGCAGUGCUAGGAGAGCAGUCCGGCCUUGGCCAUCCGCGUAAAUAAAGUGCCUUCCCACGUUCCCGUCACUGCCUUUUCUUCCGGGCGGGUUUUCUUGCAGGUCUCCAGCCCCUCCUGCCUCCCCAGCGGCGGCCCCUCGACGGGUUUUUGUCGGGUCGUCCAGCGUGCUAAUAGCCCGCUUGUUCUUUGUGGGAAGUGGGUGAAAAUGGAAGAUGAGUGUCUUCCUUAGCCACGCAGCCUAAAAAACAGGCUCGAAGCAUGUCCCUGUGCCGGGUUGAGCAGCGGGGCUGAGGGGAGAAUUGGGUGAGCUGUUUACAGUAAUGGACAUCAGACUGGUGGUGUGGCUGGGAGCUGUGCUGGGAAGGCCAGGAAAUAGUCCUCUGAUUAUUAGUGGCCAUGGUGAAAUGGAUACUUCUAUAAAAGAAGGCUGGGGAGGGCUAUUUCCUUUAGCAAAGGACCUUUCCACUCUGGCCUUUUGAACCUGCACUUCGGGGCCCUGUUCCUGCUUCAUCAUGAGUUUUUGCAGAGGAAGGAGCUGCUGAGUCAAUCACGGAAAAGGGGAGGUGAAAUGGGGGCUGCUCUUUAGCCAUUUUUCAAUUGGUGAAUGAAACAGGAAAGGACAAAUGCAAGAAGAAAAAAAGAGUGAUUACUUCCACUUUGGUGCAUUACUGAGAAAGAGGGACAUCUCUUUGGCUAAAGACUAUAACAAUAAUGGGAAACCACUGUGCUCCUGAGAUCCAGCACCUUGAAUAAAGGACUUGACUGGGCAAGGAGCUGAUGGCAGAUAAAUAACAAUGAAUUAGGGGGAAAGCCUGCAAACGCUGUUUGGCUAAAAGCAAGAGGAAAUCCACCUCUUAGUUUUCACCUGAUUCCAUCUUUAGACAUGUAUCACCAUCUUCCACCACCUCCAUGACCUCACACAUCUUCACCUUUGCUGAGCUUAGCUGAACCCCAUGGCUGAGGCUGUUGUGAAGCCACUGAGAAGGACUGCCCUGACCAUGCCAAAAUAAAAGGACAAAGUACAUUGUGUGUGCAUGCUUUCAAACAGCACAAGCUUGCUUGGCAAUUCACUCUGGGCAGCCCAUGAGAGGACUCUCACUCAGCCCCAGAGCCCUCUAAGCCCAGAAAAUGGAGUUUAAGUCUUUUUCACUUUCUAGAAAACAUGAUCCUAUGGAUCUGGCCUUUUAAAAUAGUAAUCAGAACAGCAAACAGCGUGCCUGGCUUUGGUUGACAGAUACACAACAGAGGCAAAGAAGGCAAACAGCAGGCUUUUCAGUUAGUUUACACAGGGGGCACUUAAAUACUGUAUGGGUUACAUAAUACCAUUUGGGGGUUGGGGUUUUACACAUACUUCUAUUAAAUAUAUCUGUGACAUUUGUUUUAAAGUGAUCAACAUAAAUCCAGCCACAGCUUUAAGAGGAAAACUCUUGUGAUUAGAUCUAAUAACACCAGGUAGCUCAUAAUAUAUUUACUGGAAACGAAUGCACAAUAGAUUUCUGAGCCCCACCCCCCAACUGUUGGAAAACCUUGCGCUCACUCUCCUUCAGUGGAGGGUGUCACUCUGCCUGUAGAAGGGCUGCCAUAGAUAGUCACUUCCCUGCAAGAAGCAAAGGCUGCUGGUUUUUAGGGCCAUAUCCUGCUACUGGUUCCACAUCCAGCCCUCAAGAUUAAUCCAACACAGACCAAAGACACGAUGUGGUCUGGCAAUUACGACAAAGUGCUAAGCAAGAAGGCAAGGCAUACUUUAAUAGUAAUAAUUUAAAAAAUCCUAGAGCCUUCUUAGCUGAAAUUUAUUAGGGGAAAAAAACAAAAAACAAAAACAAACAAAAACCCCCACCAACCACUGUUCAUUGUUAUCUCCUGAGAAUCCCACUCACAUAGGUUUCCUGAAAGCAUAUUCUCUUCCCAAUAAGCCUUCUAGUAAGCAUCCUGUUGCCAUCCAGAGGGAGUAGCAGGUGGCCAAACUGCUCCGCGGAGGCUUGACAAUGGCAUUAGCCACCCAGCUUUUCAGCUGAAGCCUCUCUCAGUCAGCACACAACUCAUCAGACUCCAUCUAAACCCUUCCUCAGAACAGUGAGCUUCCCCAGCAAGGCCUGGAUCUAGUAGCUCCACAUCCUUACAAAGCACCCACUGCACAGAAGUCAGCAGAUGGGAAGAAGUGUCUCCAACUUUCACAGCUUUAGAACCGUGCUCUUCUCUUUAAUGUGCUGUCACCAGAAGCUCCACGGGCAGAGAUCAGUGCCAUAAGGACCUAGCAGAACAGCAGGUAGGUGACUGAUUGAGAAUGGAAGUUCUUUAUUAGCAAACCAAAACCAUCCGCAUGGCACUGCACAGAAGUAGGUACACUGCGAGAACUCAGUGUCAAACACCAAUUUGGUAGAAAUCCUGCUUGCUUACCUCGGAGGUGGGAGUGCCUUGUAUUGUAAACCUUAGGUCUUUUAAACCUCCUUAGGUCUUGUAAACAUCCUUAGACGCGUGGAAUGAUCAAAUGUCAAUUAUAAUAAUAUACCAGUAAUAAAGCAACUAUUUUAAGGAAUCACCUUGCUACAACGUCAGACCUCUUCUUUGCCUUCUUCAAUCACUUAUCUGCUGUGAAGCAUCACGUUUUCCAGGAGCAAACCUUACCAGCAGUUCAGCCCGUUAAAAUGAGUAGGGAAUUACACUCUGUACAAAAGCCUCCAUCACACUAUGUCAGAGGGGAAACUUUUUUUGUUCCUCCACCAUGAAUUUCCAUCAUUUUCAGGAUAAGUUUAGGGUGAUAGCAGAAAAAUGUAUUGCUUGGUUUUUG